CACAGGGCUCGUUUUGUGGUGGUUUUGGUGACAAUUGCACUGUAAAAACAAUGGAAACGGGAUUUUUCUAUUCACCUCUUCCAGAGUCGGCAAUCCGUGGGAGGCGCAAGAGCCCUGCGGUGAAGAAGCGCCGUGAGCUCAGAGGGAGGUGUCGUUGCCCAUUGCAUUCUGUGAGCAAUAGCAGAGCGGAGAGGGGGCUCGUCCUGACUCUAUUUAAGGCCAUGAACAGUUAGGAAGGAACUGAUGAGGCUGGACCACUCUCCAUGAAAGGGCGUGAACAGCACAAGACAACACGCGCAUGUUCAGUCCGGCUGGGCUACUGCUGAUGAAGAUGCUCCGGACUGCGACGCCGGGACGAGCCCAAUACCUUCAGUGGAGCACCCACGGGGAUGCUACUCGAUGAAGAAUCCACAGUUACACAUCCACAACAAAAAAUAAAAACCGAAUGGAAUCUAAACGGGUCAGAAACGCAAUGGGAAGCACUCCCCGUUCCACACGCUUAGGAAAUCUCCCAUGGGAACCCAGGCAGUGUCUGGGUAGUGCAAUCACUCAAUUAGCUCGUCAGCAGCCAGGAUGUGUAAGCAAGAAAAAUACAAAAUGGAGAAGAGCAAAAGAUCGAUGCUUCUUUCCUUGUCAUCCCACAGAAAUGAGGAAAGGGCUGAUGAACCAGAUGGGUUAAGGCAGCUUAGCUAACAUCAAAUAGCAUGUGAGAACGCAUGGCUCAGAAUGCCAUCGGAAAAGCGAGCGGGUCUGAUUUUGACUCCAAAGGAUCAAAUUUAGGAUUUGAAUUCCAUAUGGCCGCGAGGUUAGCAUUGGUCAAGGGAUGAGCGAAGACAGGUGAGUCGUAGAUGUAACCGUUUUUGUUUCCCUGUGGCAGCAUGAAGGAAUCCAGAGGUAAAUUCUUAUUUAUAUUUCCACCCUUCUGCCUCAUUUCUGAGGAGUG